rnacentral:rRNA from 1 species
UACGUAGGGUCCAAGCGUUGUUCGGAAUUACUGGGCGUAAAGCGCGUGUAGGCCGCUUGGAUAGUCGGAUGUGAAAGCCCUGGGCUCAACCUAGGAAGUGCAUUCGAAACUUCCAAGCUGGAGUGCUGGAGAGGAAAGCGGAAUUCUCGGUGUAGAGGUGAAAUUCGUAGAUAUCGAGAGGAACACCGGUGGCGAAGGCGGCUUUCUGGACAGUCACUGACGCUGAGACGCGAAAGCGUGGGGAGCAAACAGG